CUUGGCACCGAAGAAUUCACUGA
rnacentral:miRNA from 1 species